CCUACGGGAGGCAGCAGUGGGGAAUAUUGCACAAUGGGGGAAACCCUGAUGCAGCAACGCCGCGUGAGUGAGGAAGUAUUUCUGUAUGUAAAGCUCUAUCAGCAGGGAAUAGAAAAGAAGGUACCUGAAAAAGAAUCACCUGCUAACUACGUGCCAGCAGCCCCGGUAAUACGUCGGGGGUCAGCGUUAUCCGGUUUUUAUGGGUGUAAAGGGAGCGUAGACGGGAAGGCAAGUCAGAAGUGAAAGCCCAAGGCUCAACCAUGUGACUGCUUUUGAAACUGUCAAACUAGAGUGCGGGAGAGGUAAGAGGAAUGCCUGGUGUAGCGGUGAAAUGCGUAGAUAUUAGGAGGAACACCAGUGGCGAAGGCGUCUUACUGGACCGAAACUGACGUUGAGGCUCGAAAGCGUGGGGAGCAAACAGGAUUAGAUACCCGAGUAGUC
rnacentral:rRNA from 1 species